CGGGUGACGAGUGGCGGACGGGUGAGUAAUGUCUGGGAAACUGCCUGAUGGAGGGGGAUAACUACUGGAAACGGUAGCUAAUACCGCAUAACGUCGCAAGACCAAAGAGGGGGACCUUCGGGCCUCUUGCCAUCAGAUGUGCCCAGAUGGGAUUAGCUAGUAGGUGGGGUAACGGCUCACCUAGGCGACGAUCCCUAGCUGGUCUGAGAGGAUGACCAGCCACACUGGAACUGAGACACGGUCCAGACUCCUACGGGAGGCAGCAGUGGGGAAUAUUGCACAAUGGGCGCAAGCCUGAUGCAGCCAUGCCGCGUGUAUGAAGAAGGCCUUCGGGUUGUAAAGUACUUUCAGCGGGGAGGAAGGUGUUGUGGUUAAUAACCGCAGCAAUUGACGUUACCCGCAGAAGAAGCACCGGCUAACUCCGUGCCAGCAGCCGCGGUAAUACGGAGGGUGCAAGC
rnacentral:rRNA from 1 species